UACGUAGGGUGCGAGCGUUGUCCGGAAUUAUUGGGCGUAAAGAGCUUGUAGGCGGUCUGUCGCGUCUGCUGUGAAAAUCCGGGGCUCAACCCCGGACUUGCAGUGGGUACGGGCAGACUAGAGUGUGGUAGGGGAGACUGGAAUUCCUGGUGUAGCGGUGAAAUGCGCAGAUAUCAGGAGGAACACCGAUGGCGAAGGCAGGUCUCUGGAACGGUACUGACGCUGAGGCGCGAAAGCGUGGGGAGCGAACAGG
rnacentral:rRNA from 1 species